rnacentral:ncRNA from 2 species
GUGGACCCGUGGGGGUGCUUCCCUUUUUGGGAGGCUGAGAGUAUACCCCUUGAACCUGAUCUGGGUAAUGCCAGCGUAGGGAAACGGGUCGUAAUUGAGG